rnacentral:rRNA from 1 species
UACAGAGGCCCCAAGCGUUACUGAGAAUCACUGGGUUUAAAGGGUGCGUAGGUGGUCCGUUAAGUUCGUUGUGAAAUCCCUGGGCUCAACCCAGGAAAUGCUUCGAAUACUGGCGGACUUGAGGCUAGUAGAGGUCACUGGAACUGACGGUGGAGCGGUGAAAUGCGUAGAUAUCGUCAGGAACGCCGAUGGUGAAGACAGGUGACUGGGCUAGUCCUGACACUGAGGCACGAAAGCGUGGGGAGCGAACGGG